rnacentral:rRNA from 1 species
CAAUAGCGUAUAUUAAAGUUGUUGCAGUUAAAAAGCUCGUAGUUGGAUUUGUGGCGUACGGUGUGUUCCGGGCACUUGUUGUCUGAGUAACCUGCUGUUGCCAUCCUUGGGUGGAACCUGUGUGGCAUUAGGUUGUCGUGCAGGGGAUGCCCAUCAUUUACUGUGAAAAAAUUAGAGUGUUCAAAGCAGGCUUAUGCCGUUGAAUAUAUUAGCAUGGAAUAAUGAGAUAGGACUUUUUUGCUAUUUUGUUGGUUUGCGCAAAGAGGUAAUGAUUAAUAGGGACAGUUGGGGAUAUUCGUAUUCCAUUGUCAGAGGUGAAAUUCUUGGAUUUUUGGAAGACGAACUACUGCGAAAGCAUUUACCAAGGAUGUUUUCAUUGA